rnacentral:antisense_RNA from 1 species
GAAGUUGUCGUCCUCGGCUGCCAGCAGGGCAUGCACGAAGUCGCCCGGGACCUGGUCGUAGCUGAUCGGGAAACGUCGCAUUUCACCGAACUCUGCUAUCAGUCGAUUAUCUGUGCUAUAUAUCCGCAACGGGGUUUGCAGUUCGACGUCACGCAGGGUUUCAACAUCAGGCAGGGCGGGGCUAAGAUAGAGCGCAACCCCGCUCAGAACCAUGAUGGGUGCACAUGCCAGCGCGAAGGCAGACCAGAAGAGAAAUCUCAGUAAGCGCAUAAGGGAUGGGGAAUUC